GAUGAACGCUAGCGGCAGGCUUAACACAUGCAAGUCGAGGGGUAUAGUUUUCGGACCAAGAGACCGGCGCACGGGUGCGUAACGCGUAUGCAAUCUACCUUUUACAGAGGGAUAGCCCAGAGAAAUUUGGAUUAAUACCUCAUAGCAUAGCAGCUUCGCAUGAAGCCACUAUUAAAGUCACAACGGUAAAAGAUGAGCAUGCGUCCCAUUAGCUAGUUGGUAAGGUAACGGCUUACCAAGGCUACGAUGGGUAGGGGUCCUGAGAGGGAGAUCCCCCACACUGGUACUGAGACACGGACCAGACUCCUACGGGAGGCAGCAGUGAGGAAUAUUGGACAAUGGGCGCAAGCCUGAUCCAGCCAUGCCGCGUGCAGGAUGACGGUCCUAUGGAUUGUAAACUGCUUUUAUACAGGAAGAAACAGUUCUACGUGUAGAACCUUGACGGUACUGUAAGAAUAAGGAUCGGCUAACUCCGUGCCAGCAGCCGCGGUAAU
rnacentral:rRNA from 1 species